rfam:Alkaliphilus metalliredigens QYMF, complete genome.
GCUGGUGUAGCUCAAUUGGUAGAGCAGCUGAUUUGUAAUCAGCAGGUCGCGGGUUCGAAUCCCAUCACCAGCU